GAGAGUUUGGCCGAGUGGUUAAGGCGUCAGAUUUAGGCUAACUUGUAGUUUAAAAUCCUCUGAUAUCUACGGAUUCGCGGGUUCGAAUCCCGUAGCUCUCA
rnacentral:tRNA from 1 species